AUACGUAGGGCGCGAGCGUUGUCCGGAAUUACUGGGCGUAAAGAGCUCGUAGGUGGUUUGUCGCGUCGUCUGUGAAAUUCCGGGGCUUAACUCCGGGCGUGCAGGCGAUACGGGCAUAACUUGAGUACUGUAGGGGAGACUGGAAUUCCUGGUGUAGCGGUGAAAUGCGCAGAUAUCAGGAGGAACACCGGUGGCGAAGGCGGGUCUCUGGGCAGUAACUGACGCUGAGGAGCGAAAGCAUGGGUAGCGAACAGGAUUAGAUACCCUGGUAGUCCAUGCCGUAAACGGUGGGCGCUAGGUGUAGGGGUCUUCCACGACUUCUGUGCCGUAGCUAACGCAUUAAGCGCCCCGCCUGGGGAGUACGGCCGCAAGGCUAAAACUCAAAGGAAUUGACGGGG
rnacentral:rRNA from 1 species